rnacentral:rRNA from 1 species
UACGAAGGGGGCUAGCGUUGUUCGGAAUUACUGGGCGUAAAGCGCACGUAGGCGGACUGGUCAGUUAGGGGUGAAAUCCCGGGGCUCAACCCCGGAACUGCCUUUAAUACUGCCAGUCUUGAGUUCGAGAGAGGUGAGUGGAAUUCCGAGUGUAGAGGUGAAAUUCGUAGAUAUUCGGAGGAACACCGGUGGCGAAGGCGGGAUCCUGGGCCAGUACUGACGCUGAGGAGCGAAAGCGUGGGGAGCAAACAGG